CGGGGGUUACCCCCCUCGGUGCCGCAGCUAACGCAUUAAGGACUCCGCCUGGGAAGUACGCUCGAAAGAGUGAAACUCAAAGGAAUUGACGGGGACCCGCACAAGUAGCGGAGCAUGUGGUUUAAUUCGAAGCAACGCGAAGAACCUUACCUAAGCUUGACAUCCCAAUGACAUCUCCUUAAUCGGAGAGUUCCCU
rnacentral:rRNA from 1 species